rnacentral:lncRNA from 1 species
AACGACAUUCCGAUAAAAAAUAUAACCGUUGUAGUCGUCGGAAAUUCGUCGGAAAAUACUGAAUUCAAACGACAUUCUGAUUAACAGAUAUAACCGUUACCGUCGUCGGUAUUCCGUCGGCAUUUUCCGACGAAUUUCCGACGAACCAAGUGACCGUUGCCGACAAAUAUAUAUGACCGUUUUAUAGCCGUUUGAGAUUGGAAAAUACCUACGGAAUUCCGACGGACUGCUUUACAUCGUCGGAAUUCCGUCAGAAAGUCGUCGUAUGGCCGUAAGCAAUUUCCUAUAAAUGCAACCCC